GAUGAACGCUGGCGGCGUGCCUAAUACAUGCAAGUCGAGCGAACAGACGAGGAGCUUGCUCCUCUGACGUUAGCGGCGGACGGGUGAGUAACACGUGGAUAACCUACCUAUAAGACUGGGAUAACUUCGGGAAACCGGAGCUAAUACCGGAUAAUAUAUUGAACCGCAUGGUUCAAUAGUGAAAGACGGUUUUGCUGUCACUUAUAGAUGGAUCCGCGCCGCAUUAGCUAGUUGGUAAGGUAACGGCUUACCAAGGCAACGAUGCGUAGCCGACCUGAGAGGGUGAACGGCCACACUGGAACUGAGACACGGUCCAGACUCCUACGGGAGGCAGCAGUAGGGAAUCUUCCGCAAUGGUCGAAAGCCUGACGGAGCAACGCCGCGUGAGUGAUGAAGGUCUUCGGAUCGUAAAACUCUGUUAUUAGGGAAGAACAAAUGUGUAAGUAACUAUGCACGUCUUGACGGUACCUAAUCAGAAAGCCACGGCUAACUACGUG
rnacentral:rRNA from 1 species